rnacentral:rRNA from 1 species
UGCAAGUCGAACGAACCUUCGGGUUAGUGGCGGACGGGUGAGUAACGCGUGAGAAUCUGCCCUCAGGAGGGGGAUAACGGUUGGAAACGACCGCUAAUACCCCAUAUGCCUAUUGGUGAAAUGAAUUUCGCCUGAGGAUGAGCUCGCGUCUGAUUAGCUAGUUGGUGAGGUAAUGGCUCACCAAGGCUUCGAUCAGUAGCUGGUCUGAGAGGAUGAUCAGCCACACUGGGACUGAGACACGGCCCAGACUCCUACGGGAGGCAGCAGUGGGGAAUUUUCCGCAAUGGGCGAAAGCCUGACGGAGCAACGCCGCGUGAGGGACGAAGGCCUCUGGGCUGUAAACCUCUUUUCUCAAGGAAGAAGAUAUGACGGUACUUGAGGAAUAAGCCACGGCUAAUUCCGUGCCAGCAGCCGCGGUAAUACGAAGGGACCUAGCGUAGUUCGGAAUUACUGGGCUUAAAGAGUUCGUAGGUGGUUAAAAAAGUUGGUGGUGAAAUCCCAGAGCUUAACUCUGGAACUGCCAUCAAAACUUUUUAGCUAGAGUAUGAUAGAGGAAAGCAGAAUUUCUAGUGUAGAGGUGAAAUUCGUAGAUAUUAGAAAGAAUACCAAUUGCGAAGGCAGCUUUCUGGAUCAUUACUGACACUGAGGAACGAAAGCAUGGGUAGCGAAGAGGAUUAGAUACCCUCGUAGUCCAUGCCGUAAACGAUGUGUGUUAGACGUUGGAAAUUUAUUUUCAGUGUCGCAGCGAAAGCAUUAAACACACCGCCUGGGGAGUACGACCGCAAGGUUAAAACUCAAAUGAAUUGACGGGGACUCGCACAAGUAGUGGAGCAUGUGUUUAAUUCGAAGAUACGCGCAGAACCUUACCAACACUUGACAUGAUCGUCGCGACUCUAAGAGAUUAGAGUUUUCGGGUUCGGCCGGACGAUACACAGGUGCUGCAUACUGUCGUCAGCUCGUGUCGUGAGAUGUGGGUAGUCCCGCACGAGCGCACCCUCACUUUAGUGCAUCAUAGUGGCACUCUGAAAGACUGCAGUGAUAGCUGAGAGGUGGGGAUGACGUCAGUCUCAUGCCUACGUAGUGGCCUCACCGACUGGCUACAUGAUCUACACAGAGUCAGGACUGCGAGUAGCAAUCUUAAAGAUACCUCCGGUUCGG